rnacentral:rRNA from 1 species
AGCGAACGCUGGCGGCAGGCCUAACACAUGCAAGUCGAGCGCCCCGCAAGGGGAGCGGCAGACGGGAGAGUAACACGUGGGAACGUACCCUUUGGUUCGGAACAACCCAGGGAAACUUGGGCUAAUACCGGAUAAGCCCUUACGGGGAAAGAUUCAUCGCCGAAGGAUCGGCCCGCGUCUGAUUAGCUAGUUGGUGGGGUAACGGCCCGCCAAGGCGACGAUCAGUAGCUGGUCUGAGAGGAUGAUCAGCCUCAUUGGGACUGAGACACGGCCCAGACUCCUACGGGAGGCAGCAGUGGGGAAUAUUGGACAAUGGGCGCAAGCCUGAUCCAGCCAUGCCGCGUGGGUGAUGAAGGCCCUAGGGUUGUAAGCCCUUUCGGCGGGGAAGAUAAUGACGGUACCCGCAGAAGAAGCCCCGGCUAACUUCGUGCCAGCCGCCGCGGUAAUAC